GCUAGGGGAGGGAGGUUUACAAGUGAAGAGUAGUUAGGGAAUAUGGUGACUCUGAAGAAUCGAGAUCAGCAGUGUCCAGGAAUUAGAAAAAAUAAACUGCUAUUUCCGUGAGUUCCCCCUCUGUGAGCCAUUUAGGUAGUGCUGUCCUCAGUCUCUUGGGGCAUACUUCUUUCCCGAUCUGGCACAAAUGACCCCUCAGGGCUUAAAGACUUGAGAAUGACAGAUGAUCAAGGUCUGGACCCAUGUUGAAAGCAGACUUCUGGGAGGAGAAAGAACAGCUGUUUACCAUCUUCCCAGAGUCAAAUUGAACACACUGGAACAGAGAGGUGCCUUCAAAAAGUUGGCCUCAUUUUCUGAAGCUGAAAUCCUUUUGAUCAUAAUUACUUCUGACCUAAAAUUACCCACAGUCACCAUACAAUGCCACGCUGGGACAAAAAAGAAAUACAUAUUGGCUAGCCUUCAGAUUUGUCUGCUAACAGUAAAAAUACUAUAAUAAAUCGGUAACAUAUGUUGCCAGGCAAGGAAAAGUGAUAUAAAUAAAGAGACUGGGAGACCCAAACCAAGUACAAUGUGAAAAGAAUUUAAAUUUCAAUCUAUUUGCUGGCUAAUUACCAUUUGAAAAGUAAUUUGAAAGUUUUACUGUUAUUUGCUGAUAUUCUUCCUCAUUUUUCUUUUUUUCCUCUUCAGAUUGCAUUCUUACCCAAAUACUCUUCGUGAUUGCCUGCUUUGCGGCUUUGGGGCGAUGCAAGCUGCAAAAUGGCGAGUCUUCUAAGGUGCCUUUCCUUCCCUGGGAUCCUCAUCUUAGAAUGAGCAGAGGCACAUCGAUAAGAACUGGACCUUGAUUUCACAACCUCAUACAAAGCCAGGCAAUUCUUGAGCCAAACAAAGGGGGUGUAAGCUAUUUCAUUUAUUUUGAUAAUCCUCCUCUUGCACGGGAGCAUUUUGCUGUCUUUGUCAAAGUGAAUGACAACAAUUUGGCCAACUCUCUCUGAGCUGCACUCAACAGUGACAGGCAAAUUAUCAGAGGCCCUGCACUUCUUAUUAUCAGAGGAGAAGCCAUCAGGGGGACGCAUGGAGGAUACCUCUCCCUUGUCACUAUUUGUCAGUGGGACAAGGGCCACUUCUUCAGGGAGUAGAGAACAUUCACACGGGUUGACAUCCCAGUUUUCUCAGCAUGUUUCUGAACCAACUUACGGAUACAUGAAGAAGUCAGACAAGGCCGGGUGCGGUGGCUCACGCCUGUAAUUCCAGCACUUUGGGAGGCCGAGGAAAUAAAAUUAGGAGAAAUCUGCUAAAUUCAUCCAAAAUAAUACAAGAGUUUGGGAAUAUAAAAAAAGUACUACUUCUUUAAAUGCUAAUGAACACCAGCUUUAUCAUUUCUAAAGAAGAGGAUUUUGGUGUUAUUUUUCUUCUCCCAGUGAAAAAUUUACUGCUCCUACCUGGCAAAGGGACAUGGGCUUGAGCCUGAUAUUUGAGACUGUAUAAAUAGCUGAUCUGGAAAUUUCUGGAGGAGGGAGGGGAAGAGAACUGGCAGAAUUAUCACUAGGCACUGCAAAACCUUCCAUUGAAAUCCACGUUUACCAUGGUGACGUUUGCUAGUUACGGCAGAGCUGAUCAACUGCAGAUUUUCCUGCUGCUGAGGCUAAAUUGCAAGCUGCUCAUAAUGCCAUCAGAUGCUGCUGGGUUUCCAGCCAAUGAGAACUUUGGGAAUACUUUCCUCCCUC
rnacentral:lncRNA from 1 species